rnacentral:misc_RNA from 1 species
AACAUCGCGAACGUGCGCUCGAACAUUUCCAUGUUGCGGCGGACGUGUUCUUCGAGCGGCGCGAACGGGGUGUUGCUGAACGUGUUCGUCAUCUGCUUGCGGAACUUUUCCUGCUCGCGCGUCAAGGUGUCGAUGGAUUGUUCGAGAUACUUCGGCACCACCAUCUGCAUGCUGUCGCCGUAGAAGCGGAUCAACUGGCGCAGGAAUGUGGUUGGCAGCAGAUUCUGGCCGGCCUUGUUUUCCUGCU